CACGUCGCCUGUGCGUCAGCGGCCCGCGCCGCCGCUGCCGCCGCCGCCGCUUGGCGGGUUGUCCGGGUAACCGCGGGAGUUGUCUCGGUCAGCGAGGCUCCGAGAGCCGUGUGCGUCAUGCAGUUGAAGCACCUGAGGACCCUGCUGAGCCCUCAGGAUGGAGCUGCGAAGGUGACGUGUAUGGCCUGGUCCCAGAACAAUGCUAAAUUUGCUGUCUGCACGGUGGACCGCGUGGUACUGCUGUAUGAUGAACAUGGGGAGCGGAGAGACAAGUUCUCCACGAAGCCAGCCGACAUGAAGUACGGCAGGAAGAGCUACAUGGUAAAAGGCAUGGCUUUCUCUCCGGAUUCCACUAAAAUUGCCAUAGGACAGACUGACAACAUCAUCUACGUCUACAAGAUUGGAGAAGAUUGGGGUGACAAGAAGGUGAUCUGCAACAAGUUCAUCCAGACGAGCGCCGUCACUUGUCUGCAGUGGCCUGCGGAGUACAUUAUUGUCUUUGGACUGGCCGAAGGCAAGGUUCGCUUAGCAAACACUAAAACUAACAAGUCUUCUACCAUCUACGGGACAGACUCUUACGUGGUGGCAUUGACAACCAAUUGCUCUGGGAAAGGGAUCCUCUCGGGCCACGCAGACGGCACCAUCGUCAGGUAUUUCUUCGAUGAUGAAGGCUCUGGAGAGUCACAGGGGAAGCUGGUUAGCCAUCCAUGCCCACCCUAUGCCUUGGCCUGGGCAACCAACAGCAUCGUGGCUGCGGGCUGUGAUCGGAGGAUCGUGGCCUACGGGAAGGAAGGCCACGUGCUGCAGACUUUCGACUACAGCCGUGACCCUCAGGAGCGGGAAUUCACCACAGCCGCAGCAAGUCCUGGAGGCCAGUCUGUCGUGCUGGGCAGUUAUGACAGACUCCGGGUGUUCAACUGGAGUCCUCGAAGAAGCAUCUGGGAAGAGGCCAAGCCCAAGGAGAUUGCCAACUUAUACACCGUCACUGCCUUGGCCUGGAAACGGGACGGCUCACGACUCUGUGCGGGCACACUCUGUGGCGGGGUGGAGCAGUUUGACUGUUGCCUGCGAAGGAGCAUUUACAAGAACAAGUUCGAGCUGACGUAUGUGGGACCCAGCCAGGUGAUAGUGAAGAACCUAUCUUCAGGGACCAGGGUGGUGCUCAAGUCCCACUACGGCUAUGAGGUGGAGGAGGUGAAGAUCCUGGGAAAGGAGCGGUACUUGGUAGCUCACACGUCAGACACGCUGCUGCUCGGAGACUUGAACACUAACCGCCUCAGCGAGAUAGCCUGGCAGGGGUCUGGUGGCAAUGAGAAAUACUUCUUUGAAAAUGAGAAUGUGUGCAUGAUCUUCAAUGCUGGCGAGCUGACCCUGGUAGAAUACGGGAGUAAUGACUCCUUGGGUUCUGUACGCACUGAAUUCAUGAACCCUCACCUCAUCAGCGUCCGUAUCAACGAGAGGUGCCAGCGAGGAAUGGAAGAUAAUAAGAAAUUGGCUUAUCUUGUUGAUAUUAAGACUAUUGCUAUAGUGGAUCUGAUUGGCGGCUACAACAUUGGUACGAUCAAUCACGAGAGCCGUGUGGAUUGGCUGGAACUUAACGAGACUGGACACAAGCUUCUCUUCAGGGACCGCAAACUUCGUCUGCAUCUAUAUGAUAUUGAAAGCUGCUCUAAGACAAUGAUCCUCAACUUCUGCUCCUACGUGCAGUGGGUUCCCGGGAGUGAUGUGCUGGUAGCUCAGAACCGCAACAGCUUGUGCGUAUGGUACAACAUUGAGGCACCUGAGAGAGUCACCAUGUCCUCCAUCAGGGGUGAUGUUGUAGGCCUGGAGCGAGGCGGAGGGAAGACAGAGGUGAUGGUGACCGAAGGUGUGACCACUGUUGCCUACACCCUGGACGAGGGCCUUAUUGAGUUUGGAACAGCCAUCGACGACGGCAACUACACCCGGGCGACCGCCUUCUUGGAGACCCUGGAGAUGACCCCAGAAACAGAGGCAAUGUGGAAAACCUUGAGCAAACUGGCCCUGGAGGCCAGGCAGCUCCACACUGCCGAGAGGUGCUUUUCUGCUCUGGGUCACGUGGCGAAAGCUCGAUUUCUGCAUGAGACCAAUGAGAUCGCGGAUCAGGUGUCCAGGGAAUAUGGUGGAGAAGGAACCGACUUCUAUCAGGUCCGAGCACGGCUAGCCAUGCUGGAAAAGAACUACAAACUGGCAGAGAUGAUCUUCUUGGAACAGAAUGCUGUUGAGGAGGCCAUGGACAUGUACCAGGAGCUGCACCGUUGGGACGAGUGUAUCGCUGUGGCUGAGGCCAAGGGACACCCGGCCCUGGAGAAGCUGCGCAGGGAUUACUAUCAGUGGUUAAUGGACACACAACAAGAGGAACGAGCAGGUGAACUGCAGGAGAGUCAAGGGGAUGGGCUGGCAGCCAUCAGCCUCUACCUCAAGGCGGGGCUCCCUGCCAAAGCUGCGCGCCUGGUGCUGACCCGCGAGGAGCUUCUGGCCAACACGGAGCUGGUAGAACACAUCACCACGGCCCUCAUCAAGGGGGAGCUCUACGAAAGGGCAGGUGAUCUCUUCGAGAAGAUUCGAAACCCACAGCGGGCCCUUGAGUGCUACUGUAAAGGCAAUGCAUUCAUGAAAGCGGUGGAGCUGGCUCGACUGGCCUUCCCGGUGGAGGUUGUGAGGCUGGAGGAGGCCUGGGGGGACUACUUGGUGCAGCAGAAGCAGCUGGAUGCAGCCAUCAAUCACUACAUUGAAGCCAGGUGCUCCAUUAAAGCCAUUGAGGCUGCUCUGGGUGCCCGCCAGUGGAAGAAGGCAAUUUACAUAUUAGACCUCCAGGAUCGGAACACUGCGUCUAAAUACUACCCUCGUGUGGCCCAGCACUACGCAUCUCUGCAGGAGUAUGAGAUUGCUGAGGAGCUCUACACCAAAGGAGACCGGACCAAAGACGCCAUAGACAUGUACACGCAGGCUGGCCGCUGGGAGCAAGCCCACAAGCUGGCAAUGAAGUGCAUGCGGCCGGAAGACGUGUCGGUGCUGUACAUCACGCAGGCCCAGGAGAUGGAGAAGCAGGGCAAGUACCGGGAGGCUGAAAGGCUGUAUGUGACAGUGGAGGAGCCCGAUCUUGCCAUCACCAUGUUCAAAAAGCACAAGUUGUAUGACGACAUGAUCCGCCUGGUAGGGAAGCACCACCCAGAUCUGCUCAGUGACACACACCUCCACCUGGGCAAGGAGCUGGAGGCCGAAGGCCGGCUGCAGGAGGCCGAGUAUCACUACCUCGAGGCCCAGGAAUGGAAGGCCACUGUGAACAUGUACCGGUCCAGUGGGCUGUGGGAGGAGGCCUACCGGGUGGCCAAAGCCCAUGGAGGCGCCAACGCCCACAAACACGUGGCCUAUCUGUGGGCGAAGAGCCUGGGAGGAGAGGCUGCGGUCAGACUGCUUAACAAGCUGGGACUUCUGGAGGCUGCCAUCGACCAUGCCGCAGACAACUGCUCCUUUGAAUUUGCCUUUGAACUCUCUCGGCUGGCCCUCAAGCACAAAACCCCGGAGAUUCAUCUCAGAUACGCCAUGUACCUGGAGGACGAGGGCAAAUUUGAAGAGGCUGAAGCUGAGUUCAUCAGAGCUGGCAAACCCAAAGAGGCAGUCCUCAUGUUUGUCCACAACCAGGAUUGGGAGGCAGCUCAGCGUGUGGCUGAGGCCCAUGACCCUGACAGUGUUGCUGAGGUGCUUGUAGGUCAGGCCCGGGGGGCCCUGGAGGAGAAGGACUUCCAGAAGGCCGAAGGGUUGCUGCUUCGGGCCCAGAGACCAGGCCUGGCUCUCAAUUACUAUAAGGAGGCCGGACUGUGGAGCGACGCUCUGCGCAUCUGCAAGGACUAUGUGCCUGGCCAGCUAGAGGCCCUCCAGGAAGAGUACGAGCGGGAAGCCACCAAGAAGGGGGGAAGAGGCGUGGAGGGACUUGUGGAGCAAGCGCGGCAGUGGGAACAGGCUGGAGAGUACAGCCGUGCUGUGGACUGCUACCUCAAAGUUCGAGAGGCAGGCAGCAGCGGCCUCAUGGAGAAGUGCUGGAUGAAGGCGGCUGAGCUGUCCAUCAAGUUUCUGCCUCCGCAGCGCAGUCUGGAAGUAGUUCGGGCCGUCGGUCCCCAGCUGAUUGGCAUUGGAAAGCACAGCGCUGCUGCGGAACUCUACCUGAACCUGGACCUUGUCAAAGAAGCCAUCGAUGCUUUCAUUGAGGGGGAAGAGUGGAACAAGGCCAAGCGCGUGGCCAAAGAGUUAGACCCCCGGUAUGAAGACUAUGUGGACCAGCACUAUAAGGAAUUCCUCAAGAACCAGGGCAAAGUGGAUUCGCUGGUGGGUGUGGACGUCGUAGCCGCUUUGGACCUGUACGUGGAGCAGGGUCAGUGGGACAAGUGCAUUGAAACAGCUACCAAGCAGAACUACAAGAUUCUGCACAAGUAUGUGGCUUUGUAUGCGACUCAUCUGAUCCGAGAAGGUGGCUAUACCCAGGCACUGGCCCUCUAUGUGCAACAUGGAGCCCCUGCUAACCCACAGAACUUCAACAUCUACAAAAGGAUCUUCACUGACAUGGUUAGCUCUCCUGGGACCAACAAUGCCGAGGCCUACCAUAGCUGGGCUGACCUUCGGGAUGUCCUCUUCAACCUGUGUGAAAACCUGGUGAAGUCCAGCGAAGCAAACUCGGCCGCUCAUGAGGAGUUUGAGGUGAUGCUGCUGAUUGCUCAUUACUACGCGACCCGAUCUGCAGCCCAGAGCAUCAAACAGCUGGAAACCGUAGCUGCCAGGCUUUCUGUUUCGCUCCUGCGCCACACCCAGCUGUUACCUGCGGACAAGGCCUUUUACGAAGCGGGCACGGCUGCCAAGGAGGUUGGCUGGGAAAAUAUGGCUUUCAUUUUCCUCAACCGAUUUCUGGAUCUGACUGACGCCAUCGAAGAGGGGACUCUGGACGCCCUUGACCACUCGGACUUCCAGGACACAGACAUCCCCUUUGAGGUGCCACUGCCGGCCAAGCAGCAUGUACCGGAGGCCCAGCGAGAAGAGGUCCGAGACUGGGUGCUCACAGUCUCGAUGGAUCAGCGGCUGGAACAGGUUCUGCCCCGGGAUGAGCGUGGGGUCUAUGAGGCCUCCCUAGUAGCAGCGAGCACUGGAGUGCGAGCACUGCCCUGCCUCAUUACAGGUUACCCCAUUCUGAGGAACAAAAUUGAAUUUAAGCGCCCAGGGAAGGCUGCUAACAAAGACAACUGGAACAAGUUUCUUAUGGCCAUUAAGACCUCCCACAGCCCAGUGUGCCAGGACGUGCUCAAAUUCAUCAGCCAGUGGUGUGGCGGGCUCCCCAGCACCAGCUUUUCUUUUCAGUGACUGGGGCGGCGGUGGCGGAGACAUUGAGCUCUGCCCCUCAUUAAAGUUCUGGCCCGAUUCCCCGGAGGGUGAGUGCAGCCACACAACAGUAACCAGAAAGAGCAGCCUCGGCUGCGGACAUGAACAGAGAGGGGAUCCAGAGAGCCAGGGCUGUGUCCUACAACCACAAAGGAACGGAGGGCUAGGCUUG